rnacentral:rRNA from 1 species
UUACGGUCAAAUCACGCUGAAACACCGGUUCUCGUUCGAUCACCGAAGUUAAGCAUCGUAGAGCCAGGUCAGUACUUAGAUGGGGGACCGCUUGGGAACACCUAGUACUGUAAG